rnacentral:rRNA from 1 species
GAUGAACGCUGGCGGCGUGCCUAAUACAUGCAAGUCGAGCGAAUGGAUUAAGAGCUUGCUCUUAUGAAGUUAGCGGCGGACGGGUGAGUAACACGUGGGUAACCUGCCCAUAAGACUGGGAUAACUCCGGGAAACCGGGGCUAAUACCGGAUAACAUUUUGAACCGCAUGGUUCGAAAUUGAAAGGCGGCUUCGGCUGUCACUUAUGGAUGGACCCGCGCCGCAUUAGCUAGUUGGUGAGGUAACGGCUCACCAAGGCAACGAUGCGUAGCCGACCUGAGAGGGUGAUCGGCCACACUGGGACUGAGACACGGCCCAGACUCCUACGGGAGGCAGCAGUAGGGAAUCGUCCGCAAUGGACGAAAGGCUGACGGAGCAACGCCGCGUGAGUGAUGAAGGCUUUCGGGUCGUAAAACUCUGUUGUUAGGGAAGAACAAGUGCUAGUUGAAUAAGCUGGCACCUUGACGGUACCUAACCAGAAAGCCACGGCUAACUACGUGCCAGCCGCCGCGGUAA